rnacentral:rRNA from 1 species
UAGCAUAUCAAUAAGCGGAGGAAAAGAAACCAACAGGGAUUGCCCCAGUAACGGCGAGUGAAGCGGCAACAGCUCAAAUUUGAAAUCUGGCUCUCGGGCCCGAGUUGUAAUUUGUAGAGGAUGCUUUUGGUGAGGUGCCUUCCGAGUUCCCUGGAACGGGACGCCAUAGAGGGUGAGAGCCCCGUCUGGUUGGACACCGAUCCUCUGUAAAGCUCCUUCGACGAGUCGAGUAGUUUGGGAAUGCUGCUCUAAAUGGGAGGUAUAUGUCUUCUAAAGCUAAAUACCGGCCAGAGACCGAUAGCGCACAAGUAGAGUGAUCGAAAGAUGAAAAGAACUUUGAAAAGAGAGUUAAACAGUACGUGAAAUUGUUGAAAGGGAAGCGCUUGUGACCAGACUUGGGCUUGGUUGAUCAUCCGGGGUUCUCCCCGGUGCACUCUUCCGGCUCAGGCCAGCAUCAGUUCGCCCUGGGGGAUAAAGGCUUCGGGAAUGUGGCUCUCUCCGGGGAGUGUUAUAGCCCGCUGCGUAAUACCCUGUGGCGGACUGAGGUUCGCGCAUUCGCAAGGAUGCUGGCGUAAUGGUCAUCAGUGACCCGUCUUGAAACACGGACCAAGGAGUCGUCUUCGUAUGCGAGUGUUCGGGUGUCAAACCCCUACGCGAAAUGAAAGUGAACGCAGGUGAGAGCUUCGGCGCAUCAUCGACCGAUCCUGAUGUUAUCGGAUGGAUUUGAGUAAGAGCAUACGGGGCCGGACCCGAAAGAAGGUGAACUAUGCCUGUGUAGGGUGAAGCCAGAGGAAACUCUGGUGGAGGCUCGCAGCGGUUCUGACGUGCAAAUCGAUCGUCAAACAUGGGCAUGGGGGCGAAAGACUAAUCGAACCUUCUAGUAGCUGGUUUC